rnacentral:rRNA from 1 species
AGCUUGCUCUGGUGGCGAGUGGCGAACGGGUGAGUAAUAUAUCGGAACGUACCCUAGAGUGGGGGAUAACGUAGCGAAAGUUACGCUAAUACCGCAUACGAUCUAAGGAUGAAAGUGGGGGAUCGCAAGACCUCAUGCUCGUGGAGCGGCCGAUAUCUGAUUAGCUAGUUGGUAGGGUAAAAGCCUACCAAGGCAUCGAUCAGUAGCUGGUCUGAGAGGACGACCAGCCACACUGGAACUGAGACACGGUCCAGACUCCUACGGGAGGCAGCAGUGGGGAAUUUUGGACAAUGGGCGAAAGCCUAAUCCAGCAAUGCCGCGUGAGUGAAGAAGGCCUUCGGGUUGUAAAGCUCUUUUGUCAGGGAAGAAACGGUGAGAGCUAAUAUCUCUUGCUAAUGACGGUACCUGAAGAAUAAGCACCGGCUAACUACGUGCCAGCAGCCGCGGUAAUACGUAGGGUGCAAGCGUUAAUCGGAAUUACUGGGCGUAAAGCGUGCGCAGGCGGUUUUGUAAGUCUGAUGUGAAAUCCCCGGGCUCAACCUGGGAAUUGCAUUGGAGACUGCAAGGCUAGAAUCUGGCAGAGGGGGGUAGAAUCCCACGUGUAGCAGUGAAAUGCGUAGAUAUGUGGAGGAACACCGAUGGCGAAGGCAGCCCCCUGGGUCAAGAUUGACGCUCAUGCACGAAAGCGUGGGGAGCAAACAGGAUUAGAUACCCUGGUAGUCCACGCCCUAAACGAUGUCUACUAGUUGUCGGGUCUUAAUUGACUUGGUAACGCAGCUAACGCGUGAAGUAGACCGCCUGGGGAGUACGGUCGCAAGAUUAAAACUCAAAGGAAUGACGG